UCCGGUUGAUCCUGCCGGACCCGACCGCUAUCGGGGUAGGGCUAAGCCAUGGGAGUCGAACGCCCCGCCGCUACGGGGCGUGGCGGACGGCUGAGUAACACGUGGCUAACCUACCCUCGGGACGGGGAUAACCCCUCGGGAAACUGGGGCUAAUCCCCGAUAGGCGGGGGGUGCCUGGAAGGGUCCUCCGCCGAAAGGGGCCGCGGGGGGUUAUCGCCCGCGGCCCGCCCGAGGAUGGGGCUGCAGCCCAUCACGGUAGUUGGCGGGGUAAUGGCCCGCCAAGCCUACGACGGGUAGGGGCCGUGAGAGCGGGAGCCCCCAGAUGGGCACUGAGACAAGGGCCCAGGCCCUGCGGGGCGCACCAGGCGCGAAAACUCCGCAAUGCGGGCAACCGUGACGGGGCUACCCCGAGUGCCCCCCUUGGGGGGGCUUUUCCCCGCUGUAAGUAGGCGGGGGAAUAAGCGGGGGGCAAGACUGGUGUCAGCCGCCGCGGUAAUACCAGCCCCGCGAGCGGUCGGGGUGCUUACUGGGCCUAAAGCGCCCGUAGCCGGCUCGACAAGUCCCCGCCUAAAGCCCCGGGCUCAACCCGGGGAGUGGCGGGGAUACUGUCGGGCUAGGGGGCGGGAGAGGCCGAGGGUACUCCCGGGGUAGGGGCGAAAUCCAUUAAUCCCGGGAGGACCACCAGUGGCGAAGGCGCUCGGCUGGAACGCGCCCGACGGUGAGGGGCGAAAGCCGGGGGAGCGAACCGGAUUAGAUACCCGGGUAGUCCCGGCUGUAAACGAUGCGGGCUAGGUGUUGGGCGGGCGUGCGAGCCCGCCCAGUGCCGCAGGGAAGCCGUUAAGCCCGCCGCCUGGGGAGUACGGCCGCAAGGCUGAAACUUAAAGGAAUUGGCGGGGGAGCACCACAAGGGGUGGAGCCUGCGGCUUAAUUGGAGUCAACGCCGGGAACCUCCACCGGGGGCGACAGCAGGAUGACGGCCAGGCUGAAGGCCUUGCCCGACGCGCUGAGGGGAGGUGCAUGGCCGUCGCCAGCUCGUGCCGUGAGGUGUCCUGUUAAGUCAGGCAACGAGCGAGACCCCCGCCCCUAGUUGCCAUCCCCGGGGCGACCCGGGGGGCACACUAGGGGGACUGCCGCCGCUAAGGCGGAGGAAGGAGGGGGCAACGGCAGGUCAGCAUGCCCCUAAACCCCCGGGCUGCACGCGGGCUACAAUGGCGGGGACAGCGGGUGCCGACCCCGAAAGGGGGAGGCAAUCCCUCAAACCCCGCCUCAGUUGGGAUCGAGGGCUGCAACUCGCCCUCGUGAACGUGGAAUCCCUAGUAACCGCGCGUCAUCAUCGCGCGGUGAAUACGUCCCUGCUCCUUGCACACACUGCCCGUCGCUCCCCCCGA
rnacentral:rRNA from 1 species